GUAGAAUUUCACGAUUUUAUUUGUCGAUCUUAAUCUACUAGUCCUGAUCUCACGUAUUCCCGACGUAUGGGACGGGAGUGUUCGUUCCUUGGGGGAUGUAAAAUUUGAUUAACAAAAUUCAGCUGUCCUCUUUCAAUUUCACUAGUGUUUUUAGGUGCCUAAAUGUCCGAGGUAUAAAUUAGUACACUUUCCAAGAUCGUACAGGAUUUAUUUUGAAUACUAAUUAUCACUUUUAAACGAAUGCAAUAACCCCAUGAUCGAGUGGGUCGUCAAGAAGUAUUUACUCGUUUGUGUGAAUUUAGCUAAAGAUGAAAAAAAAAUUGUUUAAAUUUUUUUUACAAAAGCUAUACAAUAACUUCCGAACACAAAACAUUUUUCCCAACAGAGUGCUCAGAUUUAGUGAAUACCAUAGGCACUGAUUUGUUGUUAUUAACAGAAACAGCAUUUAUUAAAUAUAUCUAACUUGUUUUGAGUUUCAUUCCAAAAAGGAGUUAGUAACACAAGGUCGUCAGCGUACAUCAAUAAAUUUUUACUUCUAUGUAAUUGUAAUCCGAGAGUUAGUGACAAGUUGAGCUAUAUUGGACAAGAACAGAGAAAAUAAAAAGGGACUUAAAACUUCACCCUAUAACACCCCUUCUGAUACCGGAAUUCCUUGGGAGGAAAGGGACUCUCCGUCUCCGAACUUAAUAACAUCAUUACCAUUCAAAACCCUAAUGAUCUCCAGUAACUUUCCGCUAAUUACGAAAUUAUAAAGUCUGUACCAUAGUUUAGUAUCAUCUCACGUAAUCAUAAUUGUACAAUUUUCAAACUUAUUUAUAGCUUUUGAUUAUGGAUGAAAAAUAUGCAAUCAUAGUAGGGCAGAAAGUAAUUGGAAAUAACAAGGGGGUAGAAAAUUAGAAAAUUUCAAGGGCAAAACUUGGACAUUCGACCGCUAUGUGACAAAUGGGAGACCCUGACACCCUAACAUCCACGGCCACUGGUAACCAUAAAUAAUAAAAACGUCGAAAAGAAAGUGUUAUCAUUAACAUGAUUUGGAAAGUAUUAUGCAAACUUAAAUUGUCGACUUCUACAGUUAAAAAAGCAAAGUUAAAACAAGAUGUCAUGUCUACAUGUCUAAGAUAGUUAUGUAGUUUUAAUUCACUUUGUUUUUUCAUAUCUACAUUUUAACAUACUACAGCAGACUAUAUUAAAGCUUACAAUUGAACAAUAGUGGUUGUCAUAUGUAAACGUAAGGUUUUAUAAUCAAUUGUUUUACCUUUCGAAUAGUUUGGGUCUACGCACUUACCCAUGAUUUAUUGAUUAUAUUUGACGAUGAGUACGGCGUAUUUAGAAAAACCAUAUGGCUUAGUGGGAAGCAGGUGGAGGAGAGAUAGAUUGACUAAGCCGGGAACAAAGUAGGAAAGAUUGUAAGUGCUAGGAUUUCUUGAGUACGGUAGCAAACAUCGGCAGCUUUUGACUUGCUUCGACGUCAUUUAAUUUGUUAAAUGCAGCAUCGGGCUUUACUGUGGCAGUUGACUCGAGCCCUUUCAUGGUAUAAAUUAUCACUGAGUUCAUCUGACGGUAAACGUGAGAAAAAAAAAUCACGGUAAAGUAGCACCAGUUAUAAUUUGUUUUGAGAAUUUCACAUAUGAUCAGAUAUCCAAUAAUCCACGUGCCAGAACCACUAAGCGACGGAUGUUCGCCAUUUUAUGUCAGAUGACGACGCGCGUUAAAUAAUUCCAGAAUAACGAAUGUCAAACUGAUUGUUUAGUAAAAUAUUUUGUUAAAUAUAUGUACAUUUUUUGUACCGGAUUUUUCAUUAUUCAGAUAAUAUGGCCAAAUGUUUCUUCUACAAGGAAUGAUAAUACAUUAUCGAAAAACCAAUGAAAAAUAGUGCUGGGUACUUAAAGAAGUUUACAAUAGCAAAAUAUUGGGACAAGGACUUGACAAUAACUAAACUGUAAGAGCAAUCCUCAAAAGAAAAUCUCUUGAAAGAAAGAACGGCCGGAAAGAAAAAAAAGAAACGGAAACACAGGAUUGGAAUUUCCGAUAUUCACAAUAGAUUAAAAGUAGAUUUUUAAGUGUUUUUUUAAAUUUAUAAUAAUUAUUCCAAAAUAAAAUUACUUACGUAAU
rnacentral:lncRNA from 1 species